CAGACAAGAAGAAUUAUGGAUUCUAUUAUAAUAUUUACUUUACCUGCUCUUGUGAUAGUAAUCUGCAAUACUCUGAUAAGAUAUCACAUUUACCAGCAAAAUCGUGUUCGCAAAAUGUUGAUUACAGCGUCCGAUUCUUCUAAUGAGAGAACUCAGAUUUCUAGUGACAAAAUGCUUGAGCAUAAGAUCACAAGAAUGCUUAUUCUCGUUUCGAGCAUAUUUGUCAUCUUGAAAUUACCUGCACAUUACUUUUUUUACAUUGCUAUUUACAUUAAUAAUGGCAUUGUGGCAGUCAUGUCCAUAAUAUUCGACUUAUUAGACACAGCACAUUACAGUAUAAAUUUUGUUCUCUACUGCGCAACGGGACAAACUUUUCGCAGAGAACUAAUCCACAUGUUUACAAAACGUACAAAUAUAAGGAAGAACAAAAAUCAUGGAGAUGUAUAAUUAUAAGCAACAGUAUAAUUGAUGUCUAGUUAUGUAGUCGCAGUAAGCUUGCAAGUUUACGUCUAAUCGCACUUCAAACAAAACAAUGUAUUUGUUAACAACAUACAACUGAAAGUUUUUGAAGAAAAACUAACUCUUCUGACAUACACGAGAGAUUAUAAUAUACAUUAUAACUUCAUUAAAAUAUAAUUAACUGCAAAUAGCUAAGUAAAAUAGUUAAACAUAUUACUGUAUUAAAAGUGUUAAA